rnacentral:rRNA from 1 species
AACGACUCUCGGCAACGGAUAUCUCGGCUCACGCAUCGAUGAAGAACGUAGCAAAAUGCGAUACUUGGUGUGAAUUGCAGAAUCCCGUGAACCAUCGAGUUUUUGAACGCAAGUUGCGCCCGAAGCCAUCCGGUUGAGGGCACGUCUGCCUGGGCGUCACGCA